rnacentral:tmRNA from 1 species
GGGGAUGUUCUGGUUUUGACAGCAAUGAUUCCGGGUGGUAAGCACGCCGGGCUUCUGAGAGAUCUGCCCGUAAAAACCGUUCUCUUAACAAUUUAGUUGCCAACAACAACUACGCACUCGCUGCCUAAUCGACUAUGGGUCGUUUAGCUUAAUCCCGGCCGCCAAGGCUGCGGCCCGGACGAGUAUCCCGCGGACUUUACGCCUUCUAUGUUCCGAGUUCGGGGUAUCAUUCAAGAGGGACGCUCCGGUGGACUCCUUUAAAACCGGCUAAGACUUAAAGGAUAAGCUUCGGUUAGCCCGCCUUCCGGCAGGCCGCGGCCGACAAUCAAAGGAAGGAUAAGCGUGUAGAAAGCUGCUGGGUGCGUUGUUUGGACGGCGGUUCGACUCCGCCCAUCUCCACA